UCAAAUUUGAAAUCUGGCACCUUCGGUGUCCGAGUUGUAAUUUGAAGAAGGUAACUUUGGAGUUGGCUCUUGUCUAUGUUCCUUGGAACAGGACGUCACAGAGGGUGAGAAUCCCGUGCGAUGAGAUGUCCAACUCUAUGUAAAGUGCUUUCGAAGAGUCGAGUUGUUUGGGAAUGCAGCUCUAAGUGGGUGGUAAAUUCCAUCUAAAGCUAAAUAUUGGCGAGAGACCGAUAGCGAACAAGUACAGUGAUGGAAAGAUGAAAAGAACUUUGAAAAGAGAGUGAAAAAGUACGUGAAAUUGUUGAAAGGGAAGGGUUUGAGAUCAGACUUGGUAUUUUGUAUGUCUUGCUUUCGGGUGGGGCCUCUGCAGUUUACUGGGCCAGCAUCGGUUUGGACGGUAGGAUAAUGACAUUGGAAUGUGGCACUACUUCGGUGGUGUGUUAUAGACUUUGUUGAUACUGCCUGUCUAGACCGAGGACUGCGUCUUUGACUAGGAUGCUGGCAUAAUGAUCCUAAACCGCCCG
rnacentral:rRNA from 1 species